UAGCAGAGAUUUCACUGUAAUCCAGGUUUUGCAAUUUGCAGACUGAAAACAAUUGGAAUGUUUACAUGAAAUAUUCCACUCACUGUUAGCAGGUUCCCUUUGGCAUCACUGGAGAACCAAAAAAUGAUAGUCAUCCUCUCCAAAGAUGCUGCAAAAGAUGCACCAUACUUCUAGGUAUGUACAUUUGGGGGCUAAACAGGCUGCACUUACUGUUCCUCUGACAACAGGCAGGUCAGUAUGACAUUCAUAACAAAACGAUGUUGAUGACAUGAAACAACCACAUGAUCUAUUUAUCAGAAUGGAACAGAGGCCCUGAUGUUUAUCCAGAUAAGUGAAAGAUUCUGCACAGGAAAUAUACCUUACAAGUGCUCAGAUACU